rnacentral:rRNA from 1 species
GGCGAACGCUGGCGGCGUGCCUAAUACAUGCAAGUAGAACGCUGAAGAGAGGAGCUUGCUCUUCUUGGCUGAGUUGCGAACGGGUGAGUAACGCGUAGGUAACCUGCCUGGUAGCGGGGGAUAACUAUUGGAAACGAUAGCUAAUACCGCAUAAAAUGGAUUAUCGCAUGAUAAUCCAUUGAAAGGUGCAAAUGCAUCACUACCAGAUGGACCUGCGUUGUAUUAGCUAGUUGGUGGGGUAACGGCUCACCAAGGCGACGAUACAUAGCCGACCUGAGAGGGUGAUCGGCCACACUGGGACUGAGACACGGCCCAGACUCCUACGGGAGGCAGCAGUAGGGAAUCUUCGGCAAUGGACGGAAGUCUGACCGAGCAACGCCGCGUGAGUGAAGAAGGUUUUCGGAUCGUAAAGCUCUGUUGUAAGAGAAGAACGAGUGUGAGAGUGGAAAGUUCACACUGUGACGGUAUCUUACCAGAAAGGGACGGCUAACUACGUG